rnacentral:rRNA from 1 species
CCUACGGGGGGCAGCAGUGAGGAAUAUUGGUCAAUGGGCGCGAGCCUGAACCAGCCAAGUAGCGUGAAGGAUGACUGCCCUACGGGUUGUAAACUUCUUUUAUAAAGGAAUAAAGUGAGGCACGUGUGCCUUUUUGUAUGUACUUUAUGAAUAAGGAUCGGCUAACUCCGUGCCAGCAGCCGCGGUAAUACGGAGGAUGCGAGCGUUAUCCGGAUUUAUUGGGUUUAAAGGGUGCGUAGGCGGAAUAUCAAGUCAGCGGUAAAAAUUCGGGGCUCAACCCCGUCGUGCCGUUGAAACUGAUGUUCUUGAGUGGGCGAGAAGUAUGCGGAAUGCGUGGUGUAGCGGUGAAAUGCAUAGAUAUCACGCAGAACUCCGAUUGCGAAGGCAGCAUACCGGCGCCCAACUGACGCUGAAGCACGAAAGCGUGGGUAUCGAACAGGAUUAGAUACCCGAGUAGUC